UACGUAGGUCCCGAGCGUUGUCCGGAUUUAUUGGGCGUAAAGCGAGCGCAGGUGGUUUUUUAAGUCUGGUGUAAAAGGCAGUGGCUCAACCAUUGUAUGCAUUGGAAACUGGUAGACUUGAGUGCAGGAGAGGAGAGUGGAAUUCCAUGUGUAGCGGUGAAAUGCGUAGAUAUAUGGAGGAACACCGGUGGCGAAAGCGGCUCUCUGGCCUGUAACUGACACUGAGGCUCGAAAGCGUGGGGAGCAAACAGG
rnacentral:rRNA from 1 species